rnacentral:rRNA from 1 species
CCCCUAGAUGUUCUGGGCCGCACGCGCGCUACACUGAACAGUUCAACAAGUCUUAACCUUGGCCGAUAGGUCUGGGUAAUCUUUGAACGCUGUUCGUGAUUGGGAUAGACCUUUGCAAUUAUGGGUCUUCAACGAGGAAUUCCUAGUAAACGCAAGUCAUCAGCUUGCAUUGAUUACGUCCCUGCCCUUUGUACACACCGCCCAUCGCACCUACCGAUUGAAUGGUCCGGUGAAAUCUCGGGACGGCGGCUUGGUCGCUUGCGUCCGACUGCUGAAACUUGAUUAAACCAUAUCAUUUAGAGGAAGGUGAANUCGUANCA